rnacentral:tRNA from 1 species
AGGAGAUUAGUCUAAUUAAGACUUCUGAUUUCGACUCAGAUAAUUAUGGUUAAACCCCAUAAUCUCCUU